GGGGGCGUACCGGUUUCGACGGGGAUGCUGAAUCCGGAAUAGCGGGCGGUGGCGCCUGACCACCUGAAAACGGGCACCUAUAAAUUAAAGAACAACGACAAUACUGUUGCUGUUGCUGCGUAAGCAGCACGCUGCCCCUUUGGCAGCCUGACGCCCUCUUUGGCGUCCCGCCGAUCCCGGUUAGGCCGCGCGCCGGGCUGGGCGAUACCGUUUAGCGGUGUACUUGAGUUCGCAAAGCUUUGAGCGGGCCAGGAAUCAUGAAGCUACCGAGUCGGUAAGGGUUUCGGCUCUCGUGCCGGCGAGGAAAUAUAAAUAACCGAAUGCGCCCGGAGAAGUUCCGGUGGAUGUGUUUUCGGACGGGGGUUCAACUCCCCCCGCCUCCACCA
rnacentral:sRNA from 1 species